rnacentral:rRNA from 1 species
AGAGCGAACGCUGGCGGCGUGCUUAACACAUGCAAGUCGAGUGCGCAGUUUCCUGUAGCAAUACAGGAAACCGGCGCACGGCGCACGGGUGAGUAACACGUGGGCAACCUGCCCUCCAAUGGGGGAUACCCCCGCGAAAGCGGGACUAAUACCGCAUGACAUUCCGGUGGCUUCGGCCGCUGGAUUCAAAGGUCGAAAGGCCGUUGGAGGAGGGGCCCGCGCCCGAUUAGCUUGUUGGCGAGGUAACGGCUCACCAAGGCUACGACGGGUACCUGGUCUGAGAGGACGAUCAGGCACACUGGAACUGAGACACGGUCCAGACACCUACGGGUGGCAGCAGUCGAGAAUAAUUCACAAUGGGGGCAACCCUGAUGGUGCAACGCCGCGUGGAGGAUGAAGGUCUUCGGAUUGUAAACUCCUGUCAUCUGGGAGUAAGGCGUGGAUGUUAACAGCAUACACGAUUGAUAGUACCAGAAGAGGAAGGACGGCUAACGUUCGUG